rnacentral:lncRNA from 10 species
GGCCCAGAUGGUAGAGAUGGCCAGGAGGGUGGGACUCCCGAGUUCUUGCUCCUUCCUGAUAUGCACCGUGACUUCCUCCUCCGUGUGCCUUGGAAUGGGGUCUUUGGAGCCCACCACAGGCCUCCUGAAACGUGGGAGGGUGAACCAAGGAAGACCAGACUGUCCCUCUCCCUUGCUGGACUCUGCAUUACAUAACGCUUUGGCAGCACUUGGCAUUACGCUUUGGCACAUAGUAGGUGCUCAGUAAAUAACGUGAACGAAUGAAGGGCUAGAAUGGACGCCAGUCCAGUUUCUCAGCCUCAGCAGUGUUGAUAUUUGUUGCCGUCCUGGGCACGGCACUGCAGGGUGUUAAGCAUCAUCCCUGGCCUCCGCCUUUUGCAGGCCAGUAGCAGCCCCUCUCACCAUGCCUUAGUAACAGCCAGAAAUACCAUUGCCCUGUGUCCCCUAUGGGGCAGAUUCCGCCUUGGCUGAAAAUCAUGGCUGUAGUUCCUUCUAGCCUGUGGGAUUUCCCGGAGACAUAAAAUUAAUAUAAAGUUGGUACUGUCGUGGAGCUGUGAUGUUUUAAGUCAGGAUGUUUAACUUUAUUUAUUUAUUUAUUUUGAGACUGAGUCUUGCUCUGUUGCCCAACCUCUGCCUCUCUG